CUACGGGAUGCUGCAGUGGGGAAUAUUGCACAAUGGGCGCAAGCCUGAUGCAGCAACGCCGCGUGAGGGAUGAAGGCCUUCGGGUUGUAAACCUCUUUUAGCAGGGAAGAAGCGAAAGUGACGGUACCUGCAGAAAAAGCACCGGCUAACUACGUGCCAGCAGCCGCGGGAAUACGUAGGGUGCAAGCGUUGUCCGGAAUUAUUGGGCGUAAAGAGCUCGUAGGCGGUUUGUCACGUCUGCUGUGAAAAUCCAAGGCUCAACCUUGGACUUGCAGUGGGUACGGGCAGGCUAGAGUGCGGUAGGGGAGAGCGGAAUUCCUGGUGUAGCGGUGGAAUGCGCAGAUAUCAGGAGGAACACCAAUGGCGAAGGCACAUCUCUGGGCCGUAACUGACGCUGAGGAGCGAAAGCGUGGGGAGCGAACAGGAUUAGAUACCCCAGUAGUC
rnacentral:rRNA from 1 species